AUUCAGCCUUGACAGGCUGGAAUGCUGGCCAGUGAGGAAUCUCCUGAAGUUCAACAAAGACAAAUGGCAAAAAACUACCCCAGGCACCAGAACAUGCUGGGGGCUGAUCAGCUGCAGUGCAACUUUCCAGAGAAUGGAUCUGGGGAACUGGUGAAGGUUGUUCCAUGGCAUCAGGCAACACAGAAAAAGGAGGCAGAGCACAAAGACAUCUCUGCACAGAAGGACAUAUGAUCUUCAUUGGCAUGAAGAAGGAACCACUCUUGUCCCAAACCUGGGCACCAGUUUCA